GACGAACGCUGGCGGCGUGCUUAACACAUGCAAGUCGAACGGAGUGGCGAACGGGUGUGUAACACGUGGGUGACCCUCCCUGCAUAUCGGGAUAAGACUGGGGAACUGGGUCGAAUACCGGACAGUGUGGGAUGGGCCCGCGGCGUAUCAGCUUGUUGGUGGGGUAAUGGCCUACUAAGGCGGCGCCGGGUCGCCGGCCUGGGAGGGUGGACGGGCUCAUUGGGCCUGCGACACGGACCAGACGCCUACGGGGGGCAGUAGUGGGGAAUAUUGCGCAAGGGGCGGAAGCGUGAUGCGGAGACGCCGCGUGUGGGAUGACGGCCUUCGGGUUGUAAACUCCUUUCGCCAUCGACGCGGUAGAUGGAGAAGAAGCACCGGCUAACUCCGUGCCAGCAGCCGCGGUAAUUC
rnacentral:rRNA from 1 species